UGUAAGCGUAUACCAAAGUUGUUGCAGUUAAAACGCUCGUAGUCGGAACUUGGCAGUUCCGGAAGUGUGCACGUCGUGUGCGCACUUUGCGGGGACUGCUUUUGUGGUCUUGCGUAGGAUGAGGCACUUUCAUUAGUGAACGUCCUCACGCAACCACUCUUUACUGUGAGAAAAUCAGAGUGCUCAAAGCAGGCAUUUGCCGUGAAUGUAUUAGCAUGGAAUAAUAGAAUAGGACUCGGUUCUAUUUUGUUGGUUUGUUGGGACUGAGUAAUGAUUAAGAGGGACAGUUGGGGGCAUUUGUAUUCCGGCGCUAGAGGUGAAAUUCUUAGAUUGCCGGAAGACAAACUGCUGCGAAAGCGUCUGCCAAGGAUGUUUUCAUUGA
rnacentral:rRNA from 1 species